GACGAACGCUGGCGGCGUGCUUAACACAUGCAAGUGGAGCGACGAACCAGGGCUUGCCCUGGGGCAGAGCCGCGAACGGGUGAGUAACACGUGGGUAACGUGCCCCGAUGACUGGGACAACCCGGGGAAACCCGGGCUAAUACCGGAUGUGCCCCCUCACAUCAGUGAGGUGUGUAAAGGAAGCUUCGGCCUCCGCAUCGGGAUCGGCCCGCGGCCCAUUAGCUUGUUGGUGAGGUAACGGCUCACCAAGGCUGCGAUGGGUAGCUGGUCUGAGAGGACGAUCAGCCACACUGGGACUGAGACACGGCCCAGACUCCUACGGGAGGCAGCAGUGGGGAAUCUUGCGCAAUGCGCGAAUGCGUGACGCAGCAACGCCGCGUGGGGGAAGACGGCCUUCGGGUUGUAAACCCCUUUCAGUUGGGACGAAGGUCGGGCGGUUAACAGCCGUUCCGGCUGACGGUACCUUCACAAGAAGCCCCGGCUAACUACGUG
rnacentral:rRNA from 1 species